GAUGAACGCUAGCUACAGGCUUAACACAUGCGAGUCGAGGGGAAACGACAUCGAAAGCUUGCUUUUGAUGGGCGUCGACCGGCGCACGGGUGAGUAACGCGUAUCCAACCUGCCCAUCACUUGGGGAUAACCUUGCGAAAGUAAGACUAAUACCCAAUGAUAUCUCUAGAAGACAUCUGAAAGAGAUUAAAGAUUUAUCGGUGAUGGAUGGGGAUGCGUCUGAUUAGCUUGUUGGCGGGGUAACGGCCCACCAAGGCAACGAUCAGUAGGGGUUCUGAGAGGAAGGUCCCCCACAUUGGAACUGAGACACGGACCAAACUCCUACGGGAGGCAGCAGUGAGGAAGAUUGGUCAAUGGGCGAGAGCAUGAACCAGCCAAGUAGCGUGCAGGAAGACGGCCCUAUGGGUUGUAAACUGCUUUUAUAAGGGAAGAAAGUGAGAGUCGUGACUCUUUUUGUAUGUACCUAAUGAAUAAGGACCGGCUAAUUCCGUG
rnacentral:rRNA from 1 species